AUAUCUGGGAAACACUGUGCUGUGGAAUUGUAUCCCUAACUGACAGAAGUCUCUUUGAUCCAACAUUUGUUGUUAUGUGCCUUCAAGUCGAUUACAACUUAUGGCGACCCUAUGAAUCAGCGACCCCCAAGAGCAUCUGUUGUGAACCACCCUAUUCAGAUCUUCAAAGACCAUGCACAAGUUGAAUCAGUGUCUGGACACAGUGGUGGGCUGGAUGAGAGCCAAUAAACUGAAGCGGGAUCCUGCUGAAACAGAUGAUGUUGCCAAGACCGAGAAUUGGGGACUUUAUCCAUUCCAGCUAGGGCGGCACUUCCUCUGAAGGAACAGCUACAAACUUAGUGAAAUUUACAUUUUCUGAUAUUACACCUUCCUUUCAUGUAUUCUGUGUUGAAAUAACAUCACCAUGAAGACAUCUGAGGCUGGCCCACAUUCUGUGUGCAACCUGCUCGCAUAUGGCCAGUGACAGGACCUUGGGGAGAAUGCCUGCAACAAAAAACUAGCAGCUAAUGACAUCAAACACCCAAGGGAAAGCAAAGGCUGAGGGGUUAUAAAAGCUGGUGAUGAAUACUUGAGGAAGACCAAGGCCAAGCUGAGCCUCUUCCCACUAUUGAAGAAGCAGUGGUUAUGUGUGUUGUGUUCUAUACUUAAAACGUUCAAUUAUUAGUCAUUUUUGUAUUG